CCUACGUGAGGCAGCAGUAGGGAAUCUUCCACAAUGGGCGAAAGCCUGAUGGAGCAACGCCGCGUGGGUGAAGAAGGUCUUAGGAACGUAAAACCCUGUUGUUAGAGAAGAAAGUGCGUGAGAGGAACUGUUCACGUUUCGACGGUAUCUAACCAGAAAGCCACGGCUAACUACGUGCCAGCAGCCGCGGGACUACGUAGGUGGCAAGCGUUAUCCGGAUUUAUUGGGCGUAAAGGGAACGCAGGCGGUCUUAUAAGUCUGAUGUGAAAGUCUUCGGCUUAACCGGAGUAGUGCAUUAGAAACUGGGAGACUUGAGUGCAGAAGAGGAGAGUGGAACUCCAUGUGUAGCGGUGAAAUGCGUAGAUAUAUGGAAGAACACCAGUGGCGAAAGCGGCUCUCUGGUCUGUAACUGACGCUGAGGUUCGAAAGCGUGGGUAGCAAACAGGAUUAGAUACCCCAGUAGUC
rnacentral:rRNA from 1 species